GGACUUCAAUGCCACUGGCUUUCAUAUGACAUCUAGUUCCACCUUUUCCAAGAUGCGUCAGAUAUAAAUUGAUAGAAUCAAUGGCUUAAUUUCUCUCUAUGGAAAUCUUCCUUGAAUUUUGGAAGCCAGCUUGAUGGCACAGUGUGGAGUGAGGAAGACUCGGUGGACAAAUCUGACUGGAAUACAAGUAGGCGUUGCAGAUGAAGACCUGGAACCAUGGUAGGAAGUGGGACAGGGAGCAUUUGGACAAGCUGUUCAAGAACUGAUCAUGCUCAUGUGUAUGGGAAAACAGAUGGAGGAAGAGAAAUUCCUGAAGAGCACAAGACUGUUGGGGAGGUAAUUAACAUUACCUGAGAGGGAUCAAGAGAUGGCUUUUCAGAAGGUGACCUGCAACAUCGAUAUCUGUCCUCCAGAGAGAAGAAAGAAGGUUUUCUUCAGAAAGGAAGAUCAUGUGCUAAGCAGCAGGAAUUUGGAGGCACUAGGUAAAAGAGAAAGUUCAAGAAA
rnacentral:lncRNA from 1 species